rnacentral:misc_RNA from 1 species
UCAAAACAGCGGACUUCGGUCCUUGCUGCACCCUUGUCUUUUGCGCACCGUAUUGUUUCCUCGGCGGGCUUGCCUGCCGGUUGAACAUUAUCAAAACCUUUUUGUAGUUGCAAUCAGCGUCAGAAAAACAAUAAUUAUUA